AGAACCAGAAGGCAUCAUGGGUAGACGGGUCGGACUGGAGUUACAGCGACUGGAUGCCCGGACACCCCAACAUCCACACUGAUAAACCAGUGUGUGUGGAGAUGUUCAAGAUAGAUGAGAGCUGGUGGACGGCGGCUGACUGUGACCUGAAGAGAGCGUCCAUCUGCUCAUACCAGAUCACUGCAUGAAAACCACAGAGAAACAACCGUUUUUAACAAUCUAACGGACAAAUAUGUUUCCAUCGUCUGCAUCUGUUGAAUAAAACAUGGCAUUUUA